GAUGAACGCUGGCGGCGUGCCUAAUACAUGCAAGUCGAGCGAACAGAUAAGGAGCUUGCUCCUUUGACGUUAGCGGCGGACGGGUGGGUAACACGUGGGUAACCUACCUAUAAGACUGGGAUAACUUCGGGAAACCGGAGCUAAUACCGGAUAAUAUUUCGAACCGCAUGGUUCGAUAGUGAAAGAUGGUUUUGCUAUCACUUAUAGAUGGACCCGCGCCGUAUUAGCUAGUUGGUAAGGUAACGGCUUACCAAGGCGACGAUACGUAGCCGACCUGAGAGGGUGAUCGGCCACACUGGAACUGAGACACGGUCCAGACUCCUACGGGAGGCAGCAGUAGGGAAUCUUCCGCAAUGGGCGAAAGCCUGACGGAGCAACGCCGCGUGAGUGAUGAAGGUCUUCGGAUCGUAAAACUCUGUUAUUAGGGAAGAACAUACGUGUAAGUAACUGUGCACGUCUUGACGGUACCUAAUCAGAAAGCCGCGGCUAACUACGUG
rnacentral:rRNA from 1 species